GGGCUGUUCGGGGUGGGCCAUCCUGGAGCCUGGCAACCACGGGAGAAUCAGAUGUGAACUUUUGGACUCUGUCUCUCACAGAGCCAACUCGACGGAACUGGGACGGUCCUGCAAGUGAGGGUCCAAUGUGUGUGCUGCCUGCCUCCUGCUGUCCUCUCGGGGGCCACUACUGGGAAGUCUACUGCACAGUCUCCCAGCCAAGGUGGCAGCUGGAAGGACAGGGCAAGGCAAGUGUCAGGAAGUGAUGUGAGAUAUGAGAUGCAGGGCAAGGCUCCUGUCGCUGCAGCUCCCGGAUGGCUGAGCGGAUCCGCCGCCGUUCUGCCAGAUCUGCAGUGACCUCCAGCUGCAAUCACGUUUCCCAGCUUCCAAACCUUGCAUGAAUGGGGUCUGAUGGGAGUGCGUGAACACUCAGCGUGGCUUUUCCUAUGGAAAACAUGAAGACUCUGACUUGAGGGACGGCGAAGGUGACCGGUGGGCAUCUUUGGAGACCCAAUCCCAUCUCCUGGCAGCAGAGAGCCUGGAGUGGCUGCCCUUGGCAGUGGUGCAGGAUGAGGUUAAGGUUCUUGCCCCAGGACACACAGGCCAACCUCAUAGGGAGGUCAAGGCAAUUAGACCAAGUGGCUCAAGCCUCUGCCUCUAGGGGAAAGGAUUGGUGGUGGUAUGGGUCACUUGUAAGGAAAGUAAAGUCUAUAUAAUUUUUUGCCC
ensembl:processed_transcript Gm11946 predicted gene 11946